CACGCGUUUAAUUGGUCCAGCCACAAGUGAACCGGCUUGUAACGGACAGCGCGGCCACAACAUGUUCUUCCUACAGACCUGGUGGUUUUUUGUGAAAUAACUUAAGACACGCAGCCGCUGUGCGCAGCUUAGCACCCUGAAGUGCACACGGGAGGGGCUCUUCAGUGUGAAUGCACUGACUUCAGACGAAGAGCAGUUGUGAUUUGUGGGCGUUUCAGCAGUGGCCCUCGGCGAAAGGAGGUGCCUCUAAGGGUUCCCAAAGGCAAGAUAACUGGGCCCCUGUGCUGAAGAGCUUCGUGAGUCUUGAAAAGCCCACAACGAUUUUAUUCAUAUAGUUAGUCUCAUUAAUUUGUCGUCCCUUGUGUUAACCUCUUGAGCUUUAUGGAGUCUCCAUCACUUCCCAGACAUAAUUAGCUUUUUUUCUCAACUAAAAAUGUUCCAUUGUUUGUCUAGAUUCAAGUAAUUGGAGGACAAGACUUGAUAUGGGGGGUAGGAUCGCUCAGUGGUUUGAGCAUUGGCUAGCUAAACCCAGGGUAGUGAGCUUAAUCCUUGAGGGGGCCAUUUAGGGAUGGGGGGCAAAUCUGUCAGAGAUGGUAUUUAGUCCUGUUGUGAGGGCAGGGGACAGGACAGGACAACCUUUCAAGUCUCUUCCAGCUCUAUGAGAUAGGUAUAUCUCCAGAAAUUCAGAUGAUACUAUGCAGAAAGUCACCAGCCAGUUGGUGUGGGCAUGUGGGGGAAAGGGACAGGGGGAGUGAAGGACAGAAUGAGAUCUAGGACUUUGUGAAAGAUUUAUAACUCACUUGCACUAAACAGCUUAACCAUCCUUUAAAAAACUAGCCCCGGGGGGCCCUUUUCAAAUCUUGAAACAUAGUUAAGUGUUUAGCAGUCUUAUAGCCCCUUUACUUCAAACAAGAGUCCAAGAUGUUAAAUAUAUAUGAAAAAGAGAAGUUACUCACUCAGUGCAGUAACAAAGGUUCUUCCAGAUGUGUCCCCUCCAUGGGUGCUUCGCUGUUGGCGUGGGCCUCAUCCUGGCACCACGGAUCAGAGACUUUUAGAGCUGUGUUCAUUCAGGCUCUGCUUGUGUAAGCGGCGAACGGUGUUCCUGCCUUUGAAGUUAGCCCUUGUAGCAGAUUAUUAAUGCCAGAAGAAAUGGGAAGAAAGGCGGGUAAUGGAACACCCACAGGGACAGACAUCUCGAAGAACCAUCAUUACUGCAUAGAACCUGAUUGCCAGAAGGAACAACGUUUUCAUGGUGAGAAAGGAGCAUGAUGUAUUCCAGUAUCAAAUGGAGCGGAGCCAUAGAUGGUUGGAUUCCUCUCCGUGUGCACCACUGUAUAAACCAUUGCCAUUUGUACAGAUGCUCUCCUACAACUGCCAGGGUCUUGGAGAAGACUUUGUGGGUAGAGGAGAGUCCUAAUGGAAGUCCUAAUGGAAGUACUGAAAAUGGUCUAAUGCUCCUGUAAAGUGUAGAAAAUGUCUGUGCACCGGAUGUAUUGUGAUGUCGAAACAUGCGUCUUAGAGGUUGAGGGUGGAAAACCAAUCUGCCCUGUCCAGCGUGGGAAUCAUCAUGGCAAGUAACCAUUUUGAAACGCUGCUGCAAAGAGCAGAAGCCACCUGAAGAUCAGCGCCAGGCAAGUCUCCACCGGUGAUUCCUGUGCCUAGGAGCAGAAGGCCCCAGACGAGGAUCAUCACUACCUGCCUGCACCAUACCCGUCCCCAGGGUCUCCGAGGGAUCGCCUCUCUGUUCCUCGCUAAGGGCUCGGAAGGAGCCUAAGGCUUGAGUUCAAGAGCACCACAGAGGGUCACCGCUGCGAGGGAUCUCCUUCUUGUCUUUCACCAGAGGCUUUAAAUUAGCCAAAGGUUUGAGAGACAGGAGCUUCUCACCCACUGUUAACUACUGGACUGUGUAAUUAUUGUAUUUUGUGUAACCUAGUGUUUGUGGGGUACUUUUCUAUCUUCUUUCCUUCGUGGGGUUGGGAACUAUUAUUGUUUACCUGCCUUUCUUGUUGUACCUUUAAAACUUUUACAAUAUAUGGUUUGGCCCCUUUAAA